rnacentral:rRNA from 1 species
CCAGUACCGUGAGGGAAAGGCGAAAAGAACCCCGGCGAGGGGAGUGAAAAAGAACCUGAAACCGUGUACGUACAAGCAGUGGGAGCACGCUUAGGCGUGUGACUGCGUACCUUUUGUAUAAUGGGUCAGCGACUUAUAUUCUGUAGCAAGGUUAACCGAAUAGGGGAGCCGAAGGGAAACCGAGUCUUAACUGGGCGUUAAGUUGCAGGGUAUAGACCCGAAACCCGGUGAUCUAGCCAUGGGCAGGUUGAAGGUUGGGUAACACUAACUGGAGGACCGAACCGACUAAUGUUGAAAAAUUAGCGGAUGACUUGUGGCUGGGGGUGAAAGGCCAAUCAAACCGGGAGAUAGCUGGUUCUCCCCGAAAGCUAUUUAGGUAGCGCCUCGUGAAUUCAUCUCCGGGGGUAGAGCACUGUUUCGGCAAGGGGGUCAUCCCGACUUACCAACCCGAUGCAAACUGCGAAUACCGGAGAAUGUUAUCACGGGAGACACACGGCGGGUGCUAACGUCCGUCGUGAAGAGGGAAACAACCCAGACCGCCAGCUAAGGUCCCAAAGUCAUGGUUAAGUGGGAAACGAUGUGGGAAGGCCCAGACAGCCAGGAUGUUGGCUUAGAAGCAGCCAUCAUUUAAAGAAAGCGUAAUAGCUCACUGGUCGAGUCGGCCUGCGCGGAAGAUGUAACGGGGCUAAACCAUGCACCGAAGCUGCGGCAGCGACGCUUAUGCGUUGUUGGGUAGGGGAGCGUUCUGUAAGCCUGCGAAGGUGUGCUGUGAGGCAUGCUGGAGGUAUCAGAAGUGCGAAUGCUGACAUAAGUAACGAUAAAGCGGGUGAAAAGCCCGCUCGCCGGAAGACCAAGGGUUCCUGUCCAACGUUAAUCGGGGCAGGGUGAGUCGACCCCUAAGGCGAGGCCGAAAGGCGUAGUCGAUGGGAAACAGGUUAAUAUUCCUGUACUUGGUGUUACUGCGAAGGGGGGACGGAGAAGGCUAUGUUGGCCGGGCGACGGUUGUCCCGGUUUAAGCGUGUAGGCUGGUUUUCCAGGCAAAUCCGGAAAAUCAAGGCUGAGGCGUGAUGACGAGGCACUACGGUGCUGAAGCAACAAAUGCCCUGCUUCCAGGAAAAGCCUCUAAGCAUCAGGUAACAUCAAAUCGUACCCCAAACCGACACAGGUGGUCAGGUAGAGAAUACCAAGGCGCUUGAGAGAACUCGGGUGAAGGAACUAGGCAAAAUGGUGCCGUAACUUCGGGAGAAGGCACGCUGAUAUGUAGGUGAAGUCCCUUGCGGAUGGAGCUGAAAUCAGUCGAAGAUACCAGCUGGCUGCAACUGUUUAUUAAAAACACAGCACUGUGCAAACACGAAAGUGGACGUAUACGGUGUGACGCCUGCCCGGUGCCGGAAGGUUAAUUGAUGGGGUCAGCGCAAGCGAAGCUCUUGAUCGAAGCCCCGGUAAACGGCGGCCGUAACUAUAACGGUCCUAAGGUAGCGAAAUUCCUUGUCGGGUAAGUUCCGACCUGCACGAAUGGCGUAAUGAUGGCCAGGCUGUCUCCACCCGAGACUCAGUGAAAUUGAACUCGCUGUGAAGAUGCAGUGUACCCGCGGCAAGACGGAAAGACCCCGUGAACCUUUACUAUAGCUUGACACUGAACAUUGAGCCUUGAUGUGUAGGAUAGGUGGGAGGCUUUGAAGUGUGGACGCCAGUCUGCAUGGAGCCGGCCUUGAAAUACCACCCUUUAAUGUUUGAUGUUCUAACGUGGACCCGUGAUCCGGGUUGCGGACAGUGUCUGGUGGGUAGUUUGACUGGGGCGGUCUCCUCCUAAAGAGUAACGGAGGAGCACGAAGGUUGGCUAAUCCUGGUCGGACAUCAGGAGGUUAGUGCAAUGGCAUAAGCCAGCUUGACUGCGAGCGUGACGGCGCGAGCAGGUGCGAAAGCAGGUCAUAGUGAUCCGGUGGUUCUGAAUGGAAGGGCCAUCGCUCAACGGAUAAAAGGUACUCCGGGGAUAACAGGCUGAUACCGCCCAAGAGUUCAUAUCGACGGCGGUGUUUGGCACCUCGAUGUCGGCUCAUCACAUCCUGGGGCUGAAGUAGGUCCCAAGGGUAUGGCUGUUCGCCAUUUAAAGUGGUACGCGAGCUGGGUUUAGAACGUCGUGAGACAGUUCGGUCCCUAUCUGCCGUGGGCGCUGGAGAACUGAGGGGGGCUGCUCCUAGUACGAGAGGACCGGAGUGGACGCAUCACUGGUGUUCGGGUUGUCAUGCCAAUGGCACUGCCCGGUAGCUAAAUGCGGAAGAGAUAAGUGCUGAAAGCAUCUAAGCACGAAACUUGCCCCGAGAUGAGUUCUCCCUGACCCUUUAAGGGUCCUGAAGGAACGUUGAAGACGACGACGUUGAUAGGCCGGGUGUGUAAGCGCAGCGAUGCGUUGAGCUAACCGGUACUAAUGAACCGUGAGG